rfam:Myxococcus stipitatus DSM 14675, complete genome.
GGGACCGUGGCUCAACGGGAGAGCACUCGGAUGGCAUCCGAGAGGUCCGGGUUCGACUCCCGGUGGUUCCA